rnacentral:rRNA from 1 species
GACGAACGCUGGCGGCAUGCUUAACACAUGCAAGUCGAACGGUAACAGGCCCUUCGGGGUGCUGACGAGUGGCGGACGGGUGAGUAACGCUUAGGAAUCUACCUAGUAGUGGGGGAUAACCCGGGGAAACUCGGGCUAAUACCGCGUACGCCCUACGGGGGGAAAGCGGGGGACUUUCGGGCCUCGCGCUAUUAGAUGAGCCUAAGUCCGAUUAGCUAGUUGGUAGGGUAAUGGCCUACCAAGGCGACGAUCGGUAGCNGGUUCUGAGAGGACGACCAGCCACACUGGGACUGAGACACGGCCCA